rnacentral:rRNA from 1 species
ACAUAGCUUUCAGCAAAAAGCCUUUGGCUUGAAGUAAUGAAGGUGAGGCCUGCCCAAUGAUUGUAUCUGAACUCRAAUAAUAAAAUAAGUUAUUUGGYUAAGGGCAAUUAAAUGGCCGCAGUAACUCUGACUGCGAUAAUGUAGCGCAAUCAAUAGCCAAUUAAUUGUUGGCAAGUAUGAAUGGCUUAACGAGCGCCCCACUGUCUCAAGAUAAAAACCAGUGAAAUUGAAGUUGUAGUGAAGAUGCUACAUAAAAAUUGUAAGACGAGAAGACCCCAUUGAGCUUUACUGAAGGCUUAUAUUGUUUUUUUUUUAAUUAAUAUGUAGAUUAUGUGGAAAUAUUUUAAUAUGAAAAUUCCACUUAUUAAUAAUAAAGAAAACUAUUUGAAGUUUAAGUUGUACAGUUUGGUUGGGGCGACCGCCUUCUAAAGAGUAACGAAGGUGUACAUAAGGUAAAUAAUAUAAUAAUAUAAAAAUGCCUGAGAGCGAGGAGAACGUCUAAGCUGACACAGAAUAUAAUCUGUGGGUUAUAAUGACCCGUUAGUUAAGAGUGGAUUUGCUAACGAGCAAUGAAUAAAAGUUACCAUGGGGAUAACAGCGUAAUAUUGUUUGAGAGUUCAUAUUGACGACGAUGUU